AACCUAUUAUGAAUCUGUAUACAGGACCCAAACUCCAACCGCAUUGCUCAGUGGUUGAACCAGUCAACAGUGAGUGGAAUUCUGGACCUGUCCCACCCCAUGUCCGCAGAGGCAACGCAAGGAAGUUAUAUCAUCACUGCAUGGAAUGAGAAGGGAGAGCAAACCUCCCAAAACUUUGACAUCAAAGAAUAUGUUUUACCCAAAUAUGAGGUCAAAGUCUAUCUACCCCAAACCAUCACUAUUCUGGACAAACAAGCAACACUAAGAGUUUGUGGAAAAUACACUUAUGGAAAACCAGUGGUGGGGUCUGUCACGGCGAAAGUUUGCAGAAAUGUCGUUCAAUAUCGCU